GAGCAGAUGAGUUGGGAAGUAGUGAACAUUGUAGUUCUGGAUGCCUUGGACGCCGGCACCCGCCGCUUUUAUACUUGUCUCCGAGGUCGUAUCUACUGCGAUUUGUACUAUUAUUAUUUAGUUUUUUCUCCGACCCAUAUCCUUUGUUU
ensembl:ncRNA R01E6.14 ncRNA